rnacentral:rRNA from 1 species
GCCAAACCUCAAGUGACGGAGACAGCUUGGCUGGUGCAGUGCGACGGGUAGAAUGAUCGGAACGUGCCUAGAGCGGGGGAAACUCGCGAAAGCGUAGCUAUACCACAUACGCCCAACGGGGGAAAGCAGGGGAUCGCAAGACCUUGCACUAUUAGAGCGGCCGAUAUCGGAUUAGCUAGUUGGUGGGGUAACGGCUCACCAAGGCGACGAUCCGUAGCUGGUUUGAGAGGACGACCAGCCACACUGUAACUGAGACACGGCCCAGACUCCUACGGGAGGCAGCAGUGGGGAAUUUUGGACAAUGGGAGAAACCCUGAUCCAGCCAUCCCGCGUGUGCGAUGAAGGCCUUCGGGUUUGUAAAGCACUUUUGACAGGAAAGAAACGUUCCGGCUUAAUACCCCGGGAAACUGACGGUACCUGCAGAAUAAGCACCGGCUAACUACGUGCCAGCAGCG